UGUGGAAAUAAUUUCUCGCAUUAGUGUUUUGUAGAGAAAACUGAAAAGUAAAACCCAAGUUAGCUUUUUUUCCUGGGGAUUUUGAUAAAGUGUCCCCGUUUUUUUAAAUCCAUAAAAUUAAUGCCUCCGUUUUUUUAAACUUUCUAAACAGCCCUUACAGGCUAUUUUAACGUCUUGGGCUCACAUAUUGAGUCCAAAGUCAUUUACUUAGUCAAAAAAACUGGGUCAAAUUAUCAUAAACCCCUGCACUAUAUCAAAGAUGAGAGAAAGUUCAGCCGACCAUUUUCCUCUUCUCUUAUGUUUCUUCUUCUCUUUCUUAUUUCUUUUCUCCCCUGUUCUUCGUUGUUCUGAUUCUAUAAUCAAAUCUAUCUAUACACCUGCAUAAGAUCGAGAGAAAGAGGGGAAGUUUAUGGAAUGUCUGGUGAUGGUGGCAUUGAUUCAUAUAAUCAACUCGAAAUCAGGGAAAGUAAAUCAGUGAUGAAGAUGAUAAAGAGGGAUUACUAGUUGAUUUUAAGCUUUGGUGUAGAUUUGAAAGAGAUUUAGGGUUCUUGGUGAUUGAGUAAUUUAUAGGAAAUUAGAGGAUGGGUUUUGAAGAACAGGAUGUGAAGAAGAAGGCUAUAGUUUUAUUUUGAGGAAGAAAUUACAGGUGGUGAUAUAAUGGGUGAUGAAAUUUAGGGUUAGGUCAGAAAUAACCCAAGACAGAAGAACAGUUGGUGGAUUUCUGUUGAAAUUGAACUAGGGUUUGAUGCCGGGAUGAGGAUGAGUUGAUUGAAGUGAUUCUGAGAUGAAGAUGGGUUUGAUUUUUGUUGUGUGCAGUGAAUUGAACGAUAUUUCUGUUGCAGGUGAUGAAGCUAAGGAUGCUAAAGGGGUUUUGAGUGAAUGGUGUUGCAGAGAAGCAAGUUUUGGUGGUUCUGGUGGUGAACUAGGUGAUACAGUGAAUGGAUGAAUAGGAUUGGAGCUCAUUGAAGGACUGGAGUGGUUGCUUGAAAGGGAAAUUUUUUGGGUGAAUUACAAUUGCAGGAUAGAGGUGGUGUAUAGAAUGUAAGGAAGAUAUUGAUCUGCAGGUGAUGAUGCCAACACAAAUGUUUGUGGUUUAUCAUGGUGGUGUUUGAGAUGAAGCUGAUUGAAAAUGGUUGAAUGAUGGUGAGAGUUGGUAGUGUUAUUCUAAUGAAGGUUUAUGGUGCAGAACAAGGUUGCAGAUGUUGUGCUUACAGGGUUCAUGGAGGUCGAGAUUCAAAUGAAGAGGUUCUGUUGGUGAAUUGAAGUUAAAAUAAAGAAGACCUUGUGCUGGUGAUUGAGAAGCCGAGAAGAAAUUGAAAUCUUGGGUUGUCUCUGCUGUUGAAUUGGUAGAGGUGGAAAUAGUGAUUAUCAUGGGUCUGUAACGGAAUUGAGUCUGAGAUGGUGGCAGUAUUGAAUUGUUGUAAUGGUUAGAUGUAUGCUUAGGUCACAGGUGGUGGAUUUGUGUUGAUGUUGUGCAAGGAACUGAAAUUGUAGGCAGAAAUAGGCCAUUGAUGGUCGCUUGCCACUGAGAUUUCAAGAAUGGAUGCAGUGGAUUGAUUUUGGUGCUACUUCCAUGGUCACAGUGAUGGCACUGCAGUUGUAGGUGCAGGUUGGGAAUGUAAGGAAGAAAUGGGAGCUAAGAAGAUGUUGGAUGAGCUGAUGCUGGUGGUAAUGGUUGUAUGCAUUUGAAGUGAUAAAUGGGAAAUGGCUGUGUUGGUUGUCUGCAGUGGUGAAGCGGAGUAAUGGAGUUGCAAAGUAAAUGGAAGUUUAUGUUGUUGCAGAACUGUAAAAGGCAUGGUGGUAUUGAGAUGCAACAUAUAGAAACAUGAAGCUGGUAGUGUUGUGUGUUUGUCUCAGAAAUGGGUUAUGCAGUGAGCAAAUGUGGUGGCGAUGGUAUUAUAGGCAAUUGCAGGUGUGUGGCAGAAAACUGCAGUUCAAGUUGUUGUUGGUAUUGUGAAUGAGUAAGAUUGCAGGUGGUCAGCAUUGGGAGAUAGUUUGAGCUGCUAGAAGAGACUGGUGCUGUUUUGGUUGAUGGGUGUUGGUUUGCUGGCUAGAAUUGCAUGAGCUGCUAUUGAGCUGAACUACAAGUGGAUGUUUAAUUUGUUGCUGCUAUAUGGAUGUAUUGGGUCUAAUCUGUUUAUUGCAGAAAAGGAACUGAACUGAAAUGGGUAUGAGCAGUUGGUAGGAAACAUGAUGUUACUGUUGGCUAUACUGCUUGUGGACUGUGAAGAAGAUGGUCAAUGAAGCUCAAGCAGAAGACAGGGAUUUUGCAUUUUGCACAACACAAAUCUGCGAUUCAAAAAAAUCCAACUCUACUCAGGAGGAAGGUUUUUUUGGACUUUUUCACACUGCCACCAAGCAUUAACAUCUGCUAACUGCCGUUUACCGGUUUUUGAAAAAAACGGUCAAGGCAAGGGUACUUUAACAAAUUUUUAAAAAAUGGGGGCAUUUUUUUUAGUGUAAUGUUAAAAGUAAGGAUGCUUUAUCAAAAAGCCAUUCUUUUUUCU